CACCAGGUGGGGCGAAUCUCUUCGGGGACGCUUAUCGGCCAUUUUGUUCCAAGACGCAGCAGAAAUGGGUUGUUGGUUGUGACGUUUCUCACGAUGAAAACUAAAAGGUGAUCUAGCACGUAGAAACCAAGUUGCCAAAUCAUUCAACUCAGACUUGGAAGUGCCUGUACAUUUCCGAAAUGGCGUGCCUCGUGUGUCUCGCUGCCUGUUCUUAGACGUACGUCUCAUCCCAUGCAACAGCAAAAAGUAUAACAAACACUUCCUUAACGCUGUGGUGGUUACCAGUGGUGGUGGUGGUUGCAGCCAAAUGGUGAAAGGUGUGACGAAGACAGAUUGAACCAUUGUAUGGAGCAUGCGGUUGUAGUUUAAUCCAGAAGUUGCUGUGCUGUUGUAGCUGA